rnacentral:rRNA from 1 species
CCUACGGGGGGCAGCAGUGGGGAAUAUUGGACAAUGGGGGCAACCCUGAUCCAGCCAUGCCGCGUGUGUGAAGAAGGCCCUCGGGUUGUAAAGCACUUUCAGUGAGGAAGAACGCCUGGUGGUUAAUACCCAUCAGGAAAGACAUCACUCACAGAAGAAGUACCGGCUAACUCCGUGCCAGCAGCCGCGGUAAUACGGAGGGUGCGAGCGUUAAUCGGAAUUACUGGGCGUAAAGCGCGCGUAGGUGGCUUGAUAAGCCGGUUGUGAAAGCCCCGGGCUCAACCUGGGAACGGCAUCCGGAACUGUCAAGCUAGAGUGCAGGAGAGGAAGGUAGAAUUCCCGGUGUAGCGGUGAAAUGCGUAGAGAUCGGGAGGAAUACCAGUGGCGAAGGCGGCCUUCUGGACUGACACUGACACUGAGGUGCGAAAGCGUGGGUAGCAAACAGGAUUAGAUACCCCGGUAGUC